AAUACACGUUAGAAAUAUGAAGCUCAGUUUUAUUCCUUUCCUGCUUUUUCUUGAUGGUGUGAACCUCCAGGUCUCCCAGUCUCCGCAUGACCUGGUCCUUUCUCCUGGCUCACCCAUGAAAGUCACAUGUUCUGUGGCUGUGACCAGUGACCCAUACAUGUACUGGUAUCGCUGGACUUUGACAGAUGGACUGGCUCACAUGUUCACUUCCGUUGGUUCCGGAAUUGUGGAUCCGGUCAGCGUAGAUGGAUUUAGCGCAAGCCGACCUAACAGCUCCCACUUUGUGUUGGAGUCUCAAAGUGUGGCUCCAUCGACCCCCGCUGUGCUCUACUGCUCCUGGAGUAUCCACAGCUGAACAAAACAGGCAGGCUGCUGAACAAAAACUGCACUUUAUCAGUAAAACAUUAGGGGGUAUUGUGGAGAAGCACCAUAUGUGGGACAUCAGUAAGUCAUGGCUAAUGUCUUCCUCUGUGUACCAACCUGACUCCUGCCCCUCUAUAGUGAAGAGUGCCUAGGAACAACAUUCAGGUGCUUUGUCAAUGUUUUCCCUCAUCUGUGCCCCAGAGGAGAGAGUCGAA